GUAAAAAAUGUAAAAUGAUCUGAAACUUGCAUAAAUUGUAAUUUUCGAAGAAAACAGUGUUUAUUUAGAACAUUUUUCACUUAUCUCGAUUUUUUUAUCAAGUGUAAACGUGGAAUUAAUUUUUUUUUAAUUUGAUGGUGAAAAAUAAAUAUUCAGCCCGGACCUUAUCAAAGUUUCGUGGGUAAACAGAUAUGGCUGACAAGUGAUAGAAACGUGAAGUUUUUCUAGGAGUGGUCCUUAUUUUAGGGACUUGUCAAUACUUAAUAAUAGUUCAAAAGACAUAAGUGGAUAUUCAAGAUAUUUUAAAGUUGGAACUGCGUGUAAUAUUCAACCGAGAUUGACCUCCUGCUGUACAGAUCGGGGUACUUUGAAUUCGACGUAAAAGUUUAACUGUUUAAACUAUCGUGCAUGGUGCAGAUGCUUAGUAGUAUGCCGAGGUCAUUGCGAUUCUUUUGGGAUUUACUGGAGGCAACCACCACCAAAUGUUGUUAUCUACUACACAAAGGAAAGUGUAAAGCAGACAGAGCAGUAAACUUCAAUGUUUCAAGGGAAAUAUUUGUUCCCGUUGGAAGUGAUUUGGAAAAUAAUUAUAGUCAAAUCACCCCUACUGCAAGCCAAUUAUCAGACUGUAUCAAUCUCAGCUGAGUCCAAGAUAGGAAGAGGCUUUGGAGAGAACACAGAAUUACUACAGACAAAAGACUUGUGAAGUUAUAAGGGGAACUGCAGA